AGAGUUAUCAAAGGCCUGGGAAUAAUACACGAGAGGGUAUUUUGUACUCUGGAGCCAAUGGGGCCGUAUUGUUGUAGCAGACUUUGGGUCCGAGGAUUAGCCGCACACAAUUACGUAGGUGUGAUCUUAGAAUUUGUUGAUGUGACAUUUCCGGGGGGAGUGGAGAUAAAAAGCGGACACUUCAUUCUCAGGGUCAGUUGCAAUGAUCAAAUCAACAGGCAAUACAAUAAAUAGGACUUGUGCUGAGUUAUUGGCUAGACACAAAUUUAAACCACUUCAAACAUCAUUGCUUAAAGUUGAUGUACACAGACUUCCAGAAUAGAAUGCGUUCAUCAUCUUUCUACCGAGCUUUGUGUCUGUGGACUUUUGUCGGCCUCGUUGUCAUGGCUCCCAUAGAAUCAGACACAGAAAACAAUCCCGACGGGACACAAGAAGCCAUGAUGUUUUUCUUUAACAGACCUCCUCCUACGUUCAAGAUUUUCUCUGUUGGGGGUGUGACAUCUUGCUUGCAGGCGUGUAUUCAACCAGGAAAGAGUGCCUCUGAAAUCCACACAUGCAGCAGAAAUUGUAUGGCGAGCUCAGGGACCAAUUGAUUGGUUCUGCCAAUAUCAGUGUUCAUAAGAAUCUAAACAGAAUCUCAUGUAUAGACGUCUGAAGUGGAGGCCUCAGUAUAAUACCUCAACCUUAGUUCGAUUUCUGUUAUACUUAAUACCAUACUUCCUUGAUCGCUUGAAAGUUUAUUAUUUUCUAAAUUGAUAUCUUUAGUAAUUACUCAUAUAAACUAGUGUACAUGUACAAUGUUCAAAUUGAAAUGUUUAUAUAUGGCUGGUGAAACGUUUUUGUCUACGGUUAACGAGGGGGAGGUGUGGCCACCACAACGACUUUCCAUCAAGUGAGAUUAUAAACCAGUUUGAAGUCGUGGUAUAAUGGCUAGACAGCUCAGCUCAUACCAACUCGACCACCUACAAUACGCAUGUCAUAUUAUUAUUAUGUUUAAUAUUGUAAGAAAGUUGACAAUUUGGCCAUUGUUAUUACAAUAAAUGUUAUUUAAAAUUGUCAUAAGCAAUGGAUUAUUACAUCCUUAUUAUGUAUUUGAGAUAUUAUAAAACUUUUUCGGCUUCUCUACUAAUUGGAUAAGUUGAGCCAGAAACCAUGACAGGUUUUAACAACUAUUGAUGCCAUAUUUUAAAAAACCUUGUGCUUCAAUAUCUGUCUCUUAUGUUACAACAUUCGUUUUCGUACGUCCCUAAUGAAUCUACUGCAAGUAUAUUAAACAGACUUGUUGAAGUCAUCAGAUGUUUUGGGUUGGCAAUGCUGCUCUCAAAAUGUAUUUCUUCUAAAGAAUAUUUUGACAAUAUUUUUUUUUAUCAAAGUAGUGAAUUGAUUUGGAAAUAUGUAGUGUAUACUUGAGAGGAUAUCGAAGUAGUGUAUCCUUGUAAUGAUAUCUAAGUAGUUUAUCCUUGUAAUGAUAUCUAAGUAGUUUAUCCUUGUAAUGAUAUCUAAGUAGUUUAUCCUUGUAAUGAUAUCGAAGUAGUGUAUGCUUGUAAUGAUAUCUAAGUAGUUUAUCCUUGUAAUGAUAUCUAAAAUGUAUCUGUAAUUGUAAUACCUCCAGCUAUAUAUCUUGCUCUAAUGACUGAAAUGGAAUCACAAAUUCAAUCCAUGUCUAUAGUUCACUGGAAUGGAACGAUAAAAGGGAAGUAGCUCUUUGAAAUAAUUAUGACGACAGAAUCUUCCUAGUUUUUUCCCUUUGUUCUCUAUCUUUCCCCUACCUCAUUUCUGGUUGGAUUUUGCUAGAGAAACCAGUUCUAGUAGCUCAACAAGAACUACACACCAUUUUUUGAGGAUUAUUUUAAUGCACUAGAGGGA